UGGAAAGUCCGACGGUACAGGGUGAUAGUCCCGUACACCAAAAUGCACAGGCUGUGAACUCGAAGAGUAGGGCGGGACACGUGGUAUCCUGUCUGAAUAUGGGGGGACCAUCCUCCAAGGCUAAAUACUCCUGACUGACCGAUAGUGAACCAGUACCGUGAGGGAAAGGCGAAAAGAACCCCGGCGAGGGGAGUGAAAAAGAACCUGAAACCGUGUACGUACAAGCAGUGGGAGCACCUUCGGGUGUGACUGCGUACCUUUUGUAUAAUGGGUCAGCGACUUAUAUUCUGUAGCAAGGUUAACCGUAUAGGGGAGCCGCAGGGAAACCGAGUCUUAACUGGGCGUUAAGUUGCAGGGUAUAGACCCGAAACCCGGUGAUCUAGCCAUGGGCAGGUUGAAGGUUGGGUAACACUAACUGGAGGACCGAACCGACUAAUGUUGAAAAAUUAGCGGAUGACUUGUGGCUGGGGGUGAAAGGCCAAUCAAACCGGGAGAUAGCUGGUUCUCCCCGAAAGCUAUUUAGGUAGCGCCUCGUGAACUCAUCUUCGGGGGUAGAGCACUGUUUCGGCUAGGGGGUCAUCCCGACUUACCAACCCGAUGCAAACUACGAAUACCGAAGAAUGUUAUCACGGGAGACACACGGCGGGUGCUAACGUCCGUCGUGAAGAGGGAAACAACCCAGACCGCCAGCUAAGGUCCCAAAGUCAUGGUUAAGUGGGAAACGAUGUGGGAAGGCACAGACAGCCAGGAUGUUGGCUUAGAAGCAGCCAUCAUUUAAAGAAAGCGUAAUAGCUCACUGGUCGAGUCGGCCUGCGCGGAAGAUGUAACGGGGCUAAACCAUGCACCGAAGCUGCGGCAGCGACACUAUGUGUUGUUGGGUAGGGGAGCGUUCUGUAAGCCUGCGAAGGUGUGCUGUGAGGCAUGCUGGAGG
rnacentral:rRNA from 1 species